GACGAACGCUGGCUGCGUGCUUAACACAUGCAAGUCGAACGGAGUGGCGAACGGGUGAGUAACACGUGGGUGAUCUGCCUUGCACUUCGGGAUAACCUUGUGAAACUGGGUCUAAUACCGGAUAGUGCAAGAUGAGCUCGCGGCCUAUCAGCUUUAUGGUGGGGUAAUGGCCUACCAAGGCGUCGACGGGUAGCAGGCCUGCGAGGGUGUACGGCCACAUUGGGACUGAGAUAGGGGCAAGAGGGAAACGGGAGGAAGGAGUGGAGAAUAGUGCACAAAGGGCGGAAGGAUGAAGGAGGGACGGAGGGUGGGGGAGGAAGGCCUUCGGGUUGUAAACUCCUUAGGACAGGGACGCGGUACCUGUAUAAGAAGCACCGGCUAACUACGUGCCAGCAGCCGCGGUAAUAC
rnacentral:rRNA from 1 species